GGUUGCAGCCCUGUCAGACUGGAGUGCUCUCCUGUGAAUGGCAUGCCCAGCUCACCCUUGUAUGUCCAGCAAGUCCAAGCUUAGGCUAAAGCAAAUAGACUUGUAUUGUUACCACAUGUAGUGGUAAGGAAGAGGUUUAACACAGAAGAUGUCCUGCAGAAAAGGUUUAUUAUGUGGUACGGCAAUCUGGAACAAUGUCUAAGACCUAUGACACCAAGUCACACUCUGUGCUUUUCCCCUGAUACUGGGAGUUGCGUGUGAUGUGAAUCACCCUGGGGUGAGCUGGAACAGAGAGAGGGCUCUUCUGGGUGUGUUUUUGGACCAUCACUGUGUUGGCACGCAGUUGGUGUGCUCUGAGAUUACCAUGAGGCUGUUGUUGCUUCAGAGAUCCGCAUCUCCCAUAAAGGAGUACCUCAUGUGAAGAUGUCAGCUCUUUUCCUUGCUUUUAAGUCUAAGUCCCUUUGGCAGUUGAUGAAAUUCUGCUCUCAGAAACAGUCACCUGGCUUCUUCCAACUCAGCGGUUCCAUCCUUACAGCCAUGCCUGGAGCUCAACGCCUGCUGGCAGAGCCCUCUCCUCUCAGCCUCCACAGGU
ensembl:lncRNA